rnacentral:lncRNA from 1 species
UAUGGUUCACUGCAAGUUGAGUUCCCGGCAGCAAGCUUUCUAUCAAGCUAUUAAGAAUAAGAUAUCUCUAGCGGAAUUGUUUGAUAGCAAUCGUGGACAUCUAAAUGAAAAGAAAAUUCUGAAUUUGAUGAAUAUUGUCAUUCAGCUGAGAAAGGUAAGCUACAUCACCUCCUUUAGUUUCUUCUUAUCCCUGCUUUAUAUGGUUAACCAGUUGCGCAAAGAACGCGUAUCUCUGUUCAUUACACGUGUUGAAGUUGUUUAUCUUUGUUUUAGAAGUUUCAGAUUGUUUUGAAUAUCUUAUUUAUGUAAUGGUAGGUGUGUAACCAUCCGGAGUUAUUUGAAAGAAAUGAAGGAAGCACAUACUUCUAUUUUGGAGAGAUCCCAAAUUCUCUCCUGCCUCCUCCCUUUGGGGAGUUGGAGGAUAUACACUAUGCAGGGAGUCAUAAUCCCAUAACCUACAAGGUACUUCUGUUAAAAUAUCUAUAGUUUUGAUUAUAUCAGCCUUGUUUGUUUUAGUGCUUUACCAUAAAUACCACUUUUGCCCUCCUUUUCUUUAUCCAGUUGCCGAAACUUGUCCAACAAGAGGUUCUACAAAAUUCUGAAACAUUAUGCUCGGCUGUUGCUCGUGGAGUUUACCAAGAAAUGUUUUACAAAUACUUCAAUGUAUUCUCUUCGGGAAAUGUUUAUCAAUCUAUUUUCCAGCAAGAGAGUAUCUCUAAUGAGUGUUGCGUCAGAAGUGGGACAUUUGGGUUCUCCCGUCUCAUGGAUUUGUCUCCCGCUGAGGUUGCCUUCCUUGGAACGGGUUCUUUCAUGGAGAGGCUCUUGUUUUCUAUUUCAAGAUUGGACAACCAAUUUUUAGAUGGAACUUUAGACGACCUAAUGGAGGUAUUGGAUGAUGACUUCAGUCCCAGCUACCUUGAGAUGGGAACAGUCAGAGUUGUUACUAGGAUGUUGUUAAUGCCAUCAAGAUCCAAGACCAAUUUGCUCAGAAGAAGAAUUGCA